GGCGCGACGGGCGGGGUCUAGAGGCGCUCCGCGCCUGCGCAAAGGGCGCGACGGCGUCCUGCGUCGUUCCUUUUUAAACUAGUGGCGGGGAACUGCUCCGGAAGCCCCUGGCGCCGCUGUCUGCUGGGUGGAAUCGCGUACCGUCAUCCGUGGGCCUGGCAAUGGCGCUGCAACUCUCCCGGGAGCAAGGCAUCACCUUGCGCGGGAGCGCCGAGAUCGUGGCCGAGUUCUUCUCGUUUGGCAUCAACAGUAUUUUAUAUCAGCGUGGCAUAUAUCCAUCGGAAACCUUUACUCGGGUGCAGAAACACGGUCUCAACCUUGCUUGUAACUACUGAUCCUGAGCUCAUAAAAUACUUAAAUAAUGUGGUGGAUCAACUAAAAGAAUGGUUAUACAAGUGUUCAGUUCAGAAACUGGUGGUAGUCAUCUCAAAUAUUGAAAGUGGAGAGGUCCUUGAAAGAUGGCAGUUUGAUAUUGAGUGUGACAAGACUGCAAAAGAUGACAGUGCACCCAGAGAAAAGUCUCAGAAAGCCAUCCAAGAUGAAAUCCGUUCAGUGAUCAGACAGAUCACAGCUACAGUGACAUUUCUGCCACUGUUGGAAGUUUCUUGUUCAUUUGAUCUCCUCAUUUAUACAGACAAAGAUCUGGUUGUACCUGAAAAAUGGGAAGAGUCAGGACCACAGUUCAUUACCAAUUCUGAGGAAGUUCGUCUUCGUUCAUUUACUGCUACAAUUCACAAAGUAAAUAGCAUGGUAGCCUACAAAAUUCCUGUCAAUGACUGAGGAUGAGAUAUGGACAAUAAUGUACUUGUAACUCUCAAAUGUGGUUUUCCUUCCAGAUCACCUAUAGUUGGUAUGUUUUAUUUCAUUGGUUAGUUUUUAGAUGAGGAAAACUUAACAUGAUGCUUUACUGAAUCUGUGCAAAAUUGUUCCAGUUUUGGUACCUAUCUGACUUUCCAUAGGGUUGACGUAAGUUACUGCACAGAUUACAUCAGUACUGCCGUGUUACUUUCUUUCAAGGUAGUAACCGUAGGUGGAAAAACUUUUGCUAAAUGCCUCUCUAAGUCAGGCUUUUGGUCAAGUAGCUUGACUCAGAAUGUAGAGAAAUAGUUAAAUAUAAAAUAGAACAAAAGAAAUACGAAUAUUCAGAAUCUUCAUUUAGAUCCUGAAAGUAACUAAUGAUAAUCCAUAAGUAGUGAAAUAUUGCUCUUUAUUGGGUCCUAUUGCCAUUCAUUUCAUUUGUAUAGUUUCCAUAUUGAAAAAAUGUCCAAUUAUUUGAGUUUAAUUUAUGUAACUUGAAUCUAUAAAGCUGUGGGUAUUCCCACUCUUCAAAUUGUUGUGAUACAGAACUCUUAAGAAUGUCUUUUCAUGUUUUAUAAAAUCAAGCUUUAAAUGACAAUGAUGAAAUAAAGUUAAAUGUGUAUGCUUUUAAUUUGUAUUAAAUUUUUUAUAUUGGUGUGUUGAUACAGUUAAGUAGUUACGGAUUCAGUACGGCAUAUUAUUUCUUGUGCCUACUAUGUUGUAGGGAGGGCCUAAGGAUACAAAGUUGAGUAAGUCUUGAGGUACUUUCAAUUUAUUGGACAAGCUUUAAUUAAACCUCCUUCACCCUAUAACAGUAGAUUUAAAAUAAACAUUGUUCUUUAUGUAAAAUGA